rnacentral:rRNA from 1 species
GGCGGCGUGCUUAACACAUGCAAGUCGAACGCGAAAGGGACUUCGGUCCUGAGUAAAGUGGCGCACGGGUGAGUAACGCGUAGAUAACCUGUCUUCAUGUCUGGAAUAAUACGCCGAAAGGGGUACUAAUACCGGAUAUUCUUGCUUUUCAUAAGUUAUGCAAGCAAAGGUGGCCUCUGCAUAUGCUACUGCAUGAAGAGGGGUCUGCGUACCAUUAGCUAGUAGGUGGGGUAAUGGCCUACCUAGGCGACGAUGGUUAGCGGGUCUGAGAGGAUGAUCCGCCACACUGGCACUGGAACACGGGCCAGACUCCUACGGGAGGCAGCAGUGAGGAAUAUUGCGCAAUGGGGGAAACCCUGACGCAGCGACGCCGCGUGAGUUGAGGAAGGCCUUCGGGUCGUAAAGCUCUGUCAAGAGGAAAGAAGUGUACAAUGGCUAAUACCUGUUGUAUUUGACGGUACCUCUAAAGGAAGCACCGGCUAACUCCGUGCCAGCCGCCGC